AAAAGAAAAUCAAUGCAUCCCAUUUUCCCUGGCAUUCUCUGAGAAUAGAAAUGAGAAAUAUCGGCUACAAUGGCGCUAUCGUAGUGGUUAAAAUUGAUGAAGAGGGUAUCUUUCCUUUCAAACCGUUAAUGCUUUGAUCACCCAUUUUCAUAUUCUUGUUUUUCGGGUUCAGUCUUAUUCUUGAACCUAAAAUAUCAACCAUUGACUUGUAUUCACUUGUUCACUUUCUGGGAAAUUUCCCUGCUUGCCAGAAAAGUCGUUCUUUUCUGCUUGUUUUCAUUGCCCUUAGUUUCCCAGUUCGGCGGAUACAAAAGGCAAUAUGAAUUAGCAAUCAUGCCUGUGCUUGGUGAUGGAAUUUUUGUUGCUUUUCUUUCUUAGAAACGCACCAUGGAUAUCCACAAGACCAACGAGCCUCAUGUCUCUCGAUUUCAAUCCAAUCUUGAGAUGGCAUCGUUAGAGAAUAAAUCAAUGCUUGAGUUUGAGAAUGAGAUUCAAGAAUGUAAAGGCUCAAGUGUUAAUAGGAAACAAUGGAUUGCUGAUGAUUUGAUCGAUGGUAUUGAUGUGCCAAGGAAUAGUGUACUUAAUAGCAUAAAGAUUGUGGUAUUCUCUGCCAAAAUCAACAUACUUAUGCCUUUUGGUCCUUUAGCAAUCCUGGUUGAUCAGAUUUCUGGCAAUCAUGGUUGGGUCUUUCUUCUCAGCUUAUUGGGCAUUAUUCCUAUGGCUGAGCGCAUGGGUUUUGCUACAGAGCAGCUAGCAUUCUAUACUGGACCUACAGUUGGAGGUCUUUUAAAUGCCACUUUCGGAAAUGCAACUGAACUGAUAAUAUCAAUUUAUGCAUUGA
rnacentral:misc_RNA from 1 species